GGGGCUGGCGUUGUUCGGAAUUACUGGGCGUAAAGCGAGUGUAGGUGGUUGUCCAAGUUGGAUGUGAAAGCCUUGAGCUCAACUCAAGAAAUGCAUUCAGGACUGGGCGGCUAGAGGACCGGAGAGGAUAGUGGAAUUCCCAGUGUAGUGGUGAAAUACGUAGAGAUUGGGAAGAACACCAGUGGCGAAGGCGGCUAUCUGGACGGUUUCUGACACUAAGACUCGAAAGCGUGGGGAGCAAACAGGAUUAGAUACCCUGGUAGUCCACGCCGUAAACGAUGGGUGCUAGACGUUGGCGAGCUUGCUCGUCAGUGUCGCAGCUAACGCGUUAAGCACCCCGCCUGGGGAGUACGGCCGCAAGGUUG
rnacentral:rRNA from 1 species